UGAACGCUGGCGGCGUGCUUAACACAUGCAAGUCGAACGAAGCACUUUAUUUGAUUUCCUUCGGGACUGAUUAUUUUGUGACUGAGUGGCGACGGGUGAGUAACGCGUGGGUAACCUGCCUUGUACAGGGGGAUAACAGUUGGAAACGGCUGCUAAUACCGCAUAAGCGCACGGCAUCGCAUGAUGCAGUGUGAAAAACUCCGGUGGUAUAAGAUGGACCCGCGUUGGAUUAGCUAGUUGGUGAGGUAACGGCCCACCAAGGCGACGAUCCAUAGCCGACCUGAGAGGGUGACCGGCCACAUUGGGACUGAGACACGGCCCAAACUCCUACGGGAGGCAGCAGUGGGGAAUAUUGCACAAUGGGCGAAAGCCUGAUGCAGCGACGCCGCGUGAGCGAAGAAGUAUUUCGGUAUGUAAAGCUCUAUCAGCAGGGAAGAAGAAAUGACGGUACCUGACUAAGAAGCACCGGCUAAAUACGUG
rnacentral:rRNA from 1 species